CGUGUGUCAAGAGGGUCCCUUGACCCGUUCCUGAAACACGGACCAAGGAGUCUAGAAUGUGCGCGAGUCAAAGGGCUGGCUAAACCCCAAGGCGUAACGAAAGUGAAUGGGACUUGGUAGCGUGCGGUAGUUAGGGAGCUCGCUCUCGUCGCUGCUGCUUUGCUUCUUCGUCCCUCGGACCGAUCCGGUUUCGUAUUCUCGAGAGAGAUUUAUUUUUUUCGAGAUUCGAUUCGCCUCGCUGAACGUAGGAGGACGGCGCAGGUCCGGGGCUCGCCAGCUUUCUCCCCGCCAUUAACGCUAACGUCGGAGCUUCCCGGUCGUUGAACGAAGGGCCCUCUCCGUCGCGAUUCUUCUUUUUUUUUUCUUCCCGUUCGGUCGGUCGUGCUGUCGUCGUUUUUCUGAAGCGGCGGCUCGCGUGUCGCUGGCCGAUUCGGGGAGAGAAGGAGUAGUAGAGUUCGCGGCGGGUUAUAAGGGGGAACUUCUGAUGACCGAGAAAAUCUUCGGCUCGCGGGCGGGGACGAGCGGCGGGUACCUCGAGCGUACAUUCUAGUACCCGAAAGAUGGUGAUCUAUGCCUGACCAGGAUGAAGCCAGAGGAAACUCUGGUGGAGGUCCGUAGCGAUUCUGACGUGCAAAUCGAUCGUCGGA
rnacentral:rRNA from 1 species